rnacentral:rRNA from 1 species
CCUACGGGAGGCAGCAGUGAGGAAUAUUGGUCAAUGGUCGGGAGACUGAACCAGCCAAGCCGCGUGAGGGAGGAAGGUACAGAGUAUCGUAAACCUCUUUUGUCAGGGAACAAAGGCGGGGACGUUUCCCCGGCUGAGGGUACCUGAAGAAAAAGCACCGGCUAACUCCGUGCCAGCAGCCGCGGUAAUACGGAGGAUGCGAGCGUUAUCCGGUUUUAUUGGGUUUAAAGGGUGCGCGGGGGGUCGGUUAAGUAAGCGGUAAAAGCCCGGGGUUCAACCCUGGCCCGCCGUUGAAACUGGCAGGCUGGAGUUGGAGAGAAGUAUGCGGAAUGCGUGGUGUAGCGGUGAAAUGCAUAGAUAUCGCGCAGAACUCCGAUUGCGAAGGCAGCAGGCCGGCUCGACACUGACGCUGAGGCACGAAAGCGUGGGUAUCGAACAGGAUUAGAUACCCGAGUAGUC